CGUGGGUAACCUGCCCAAGAGAUCGGGAUAACACCUGGAAACAGAUGCUAAUACCGGAUAACAACAGAUGAUGCCUAUCAACUGUUUAAAAGAUGGUUCUGCUAUCACUCUUGGAUGGACCUGCGGUGCAUUAGCUAGUUGGUAGGGUAACGGCCUACCAAGGCGAUGAUGCAUAGCCGAGUUGAGAGACUGAUCGGCCGCAUUGGGACUGAGACACGGCCCAAACUCCUACGGGAGGCAGCAGUU
rnacentral:rRNA from 1 species